UUCUUAUUGAAUCAUAACUUUCACAAUUCAUUUUUUUAUUAACCAAUGACGACAACAAUGUAUUUCAUCUUUCAUGAAGUUGACAUUUAAUCAAAAUAUAACACGUGACAGUCAUAAUCC
rnacentral:pre_miRNA from 1 species